UGUGGAACCUAUCCAUGGUUGGAGCUGCACCUUACAGAGUGCAGGUGCUAUGAUAGCCGGCAUGAGUUUGGGGUCUUGAGAAUUGUGAGACAGAUUCCUCAUAAGCGUGCCGAUAUUAUUCCGGUGGAUAAGUGCGCGGCUGCGUUAGUUGCACUUCCGUGGUACAUUCAUACAGCAAGGCUCAAGAAAGAAGCAAUUACCCCAAUAUUCAAUCAUGUCACCGACAGGAACCCUCAGACCUGGGAUGUGCUAAUGGAUAUUGGUUUACAUAUGCACUACAAUGAUCAUCUUUCAUCAUCAAAACAAGUGUGGGCCGUUACCUUUUCGAACGAACCCAAUGAAUUUCUUUACAAUGUGAAAUUCUUCCUGUACCAUGUUCUACCUCUCCCACUGUUUGUGCUGGCCGAAAGCUGAAUGGAAAUCCCCCAAGGUUUGUGUCAUCUUACACUAUCUUGCAUAUUCUACCGAAAAUUCAUAAAAUGAAGGCGUUAUGUAUUUUUGAGAACUAUCGAACUAGAAGAAAAAUUGUUUCAAAAUCUUCAUGAAUAUGAGUACCUAUUCCACUAUUUGAAAUUAAUAAUGUCGAAAAUUCAGUUUACAAGAGGAACGAAUUAUUUACACCAAACAAAGGAAACAAAUGGACCGGCUCAGCGACUAUUUAAGUAAUAGAAGCAGCGAAGCUUAAUUGAGAGGCUUGAAGAACAAGGCGCAUAAAGUGCAGUUUUUGCUAUUUUGAGAAAUACGUGUUUGAAGUUUCGAAAUUACACGGAUCCUUAUGGGGGAAAGAAAGCUCAAACUGGCUUUUUGAUGCUUAAAAAUUGGAAUUCGAAAGCGAAUUUUUCACAGAAUAUACUUUCAAACUAGUUUUACUCGUAAUUGAGUUCACGAGUAUCUCAAUUGGACGUAUUCUAUCAAACGGAACUAUGUGCAUUGUGACGUGAGCCCUGUAUUGCAUACAUUCUUAUGGGUCUCAGGGCUCAUGUCUUAAUGCACAUAGUUCCGUUUGACAGAAAUACGUCCAAUUAUUUCAAAAACUUUUCCUCCAAG
rnacentral:lncRNA from 1 species